GGCUAAUGUAAAUUAUGGCAGAGUUGAAAAAAUUGAUCUACUUACCUUUCAGCCUUGUGGCAAAUGUCUCCCCACUCAAGCUCCACCUCUGUGUUGAUGAUCUCAGCAAAUCCAAUGCUUUCCCAUAGGAAAACAUUGGGAGGCUAGUGUGCACGUGUGGAAAUUCACUUGUCUCAAUAUCCUGAUAUCCUGGGAAGAUACUUAGAAACACUAAUUUAGGCAGAUUUAAAAAAAAAA